GCUGGGGCAGAAAAUGUGUGGAGUAUUUUGAAGGGAAGCUUGGGGCAAAGAUGCUGUUCGAUGGAGCUGGCUAAAAUUGAGUUUCUCAUCAGGGCAGGCACUUCAGCUGGGGUCCCGGUGAUUGGAGGCCAUGUGACAGGCCCACCAGUUUCUGAGUCCCGAUGCUGGGCAGCCCGCUCAGCCCACUGGACUGAUGAAGUGGUGCUUACGAAGCCUCUUGCUGGCCUUGUGGAAAGCAGGGCAGUGUGGUGGGAGAAGUCGUGACAGUGUCAGAGGGAGUCAUGGCGGGGAUUGUGGUGUGGAAGGGGGAGAACUAGAGGCAGGGGCAGUGGAUGUGUGACCAACAAUGGUCAGGAAGGGAAACCCGGGUGUACCUGGGGCCAGCAGGGGGCCAGCAGAGUCAUGUGUCAAAACCAGACGGCGGGCCCCAAGAGGAGCCUCUUACCCACCUCACCAAACUGAGUCUUCAUUAGAUUUUCGACUCUCCCGGAAACGGAAUCUUAAACCAGUGGAUUAGGAAUCCCCCAAUCAGCCCUAGGUAGGUAUCCCACAUCAGAGACUGCUGCUGUCCCCUGAGGAAAGUAACCUUGCAAUAACCGAGCGAUCUUCCCGCCUGCUGUGACUUCUUUUUCUUCCCCCUUUUGCCUUUCAAAGUCUUUCAUUCUGUACAGCUCCUUGGAGCUGCUUUCUAUCUGCUAGAUUGGAUGCCUCCGGAUGCAGGAAUUGGUGAAUAAAGCAAUGAAGUUCUUUAGACUUACACAGUUGUAUUUUCUUUCUUAACAGCUUGGUGGCAGCAGCGGGAUUCGAAGGAGACUUCUCAUGGCUUCGGGGAUGAGAAACCACAAGCAUUGGUAGCCAUGAAGCCUUUGGAUUCUCCGUCUUUUUUGCUGUCUCUGAGGGCUGUGGGAUGUCGAUGAGUUCUGAGGAAACGCUGAAGGCACAGUGUGGAGGAAUUCUGGGACCCUGCGUGACUACUUGGAAGAGUGCUGUCCCCUCCACCUGAACAACCACCCGGCACUACCAGAAAUGAGAGGCGUCCUGUGAUCGUGGAUUGGAAGCCUCCUUGUUGUUAAGAUGUCAGCUUCCUCCAAAGAGAUGAAGCAAUUAAAUGCAGUCCUUAUCAAAAUCCCAAGGGCAUUUUGUGCUGAAAGACACCCAUCCUAAAAUUCAUAUGGAAUCUCAAGUAUGCCCAGAUGUCUAAAAUAGUCUUGAAAGGAAGUACUAAGUUGGAGGACUCUCUUUUUACUGAUGUAAAACUUGCUGCAAACCUACAGUAUCAAAACAGCAUUGUAACGGCAUAAAGACAGACACAUAGAGCAUCGGAACAGAAUAGAGAGCCCAGAAAUAAGGUGGCCAUGGUUGUUCAACGGGGAAAAGACAGUCUUUUCAACCAGUGGUUCCUGAAAAAGUGGAUAUUUUCAUGCAAAAUCUAAACUUGGGAUUCUGACCUCACACCAGAUAUAAAACUUAAUUCUCAAUGGAUCAAGACCCAAAUGUAAGAACUGAAACACUUUGAGGAAAACAUGGGACAAAACGUUUCACAAUAGGACUUGGCAAUGAUUUCAUGGAUAUGACACUCAAGGCAUGGGCAAUAAAAAACAGAGUACACACACCAAAAUUCAUGAAUAUUAAAACCUUUUCUGCCUCUGAAGACAACCUCAA